AUACGUAGGGUGCAAGCGUUAAUCGGAAUUACUGGGCGUAAAGCGUGCGCAGGCGGUUUUGUAAGGCAGUGGUGAAAUCCCCGGGCUCAACCUGGGAACUGCCAUUGUGACUGCAAGGCUGGAGUGCGGCAGAGGGGGAUGGAAUUCCGCGUGUAGCAGUGAAAUGCGUAGAUAUUCGGAGGAACCCCGAUGGCGAAGGCAAUCCCCUGGCGCUGCACUUACGCUCAUGCACGAAGGCGUGGGGAGCAAACAGAAUUAGAUACCUUGGUGUUCCACGCCCUAAACGAUGUCAACUGGUUGUUGGGGAUUUAUUUUCUCAGUAACGAAGCUAACGCGUGAAGUGGUCCGCCUGGGGAGUACGGUCGCAAGGUUGAAACUCAAAUGAAUUGACGGGG
rnacentral:rRNA from 1 species